GUCCUUGUAGUGUAGUGGUUAUCACGUCUGCUUUACACGCAGAAGGCCUCUGGUUCGAUCCCAGACAAGGACA
rfam:Trichuris suis scaffold139.2, whole genome shotgun sequence.